AACGUAGGAGACAAACGUUAUCCGGAGUUACUGGGCGUAAAGGGCGUGUAGGUGGUUUCGUAAGUCUGGCGUGAAAUUUUUCGGCUUAACCGGGAAAGGUCGUCGGAUACUGCGGAGCUAGAGGACGGUAGAGGCGUGUGGAAUUCCGGGUGUAGUGGUGAAAUGCGUAGAUAUCAGGAGGAACACCUGCGGUGUAGACGGCUUACUGGACCGUAACUGACGCUGAGGCACGAAAGCGUGGGUAGCAAACAGG
rnacentral:rRNA from 1 species